UACGGGAGGCAGCAGUGGGGAAUAUUGCACAAUGGGCGAAAGCCUGAUGCAGCUAUGCCGCGUGUAUGAAGAAGGCCUUAGGGUUGUAAAGUACUUUCAUCGGGGAGGAAAAACAAAACUAAUAAUUUUAUUUCUUGACGUUACCCGAAAAAGAAGCACCGGCUAACUCCGUGCCAGCAGCCGCGGUAAUACGGAGGGUGCUAGCGUUAAUCAGAAUUACUGGGCGUAAAGAGCACGUAGGUGGUUUUUUUAAAGUCAGAUGUGAAAUCCCUGGGCUUAACCUAGGAACUGCAUUUUGAAACUGAAAUACUAGAGUAUCGUAGAGGGAGGUAGAAUUCUAGGUGUAGCGGUGAAAUGCGUAGAUAUCUGGAGGAAUACCUGUGGCGAAAGCGGCCUCCUAAACGAAUACUGACACUGAGGGUGCGAAAGCGUGGGGAGCAAACGAGGAUUAGAUACC
rnacentral:rRNA from 1 species